rnacentral:lncRNA from 1 species
AUAAAUUGAAAUAAAUAUAAUUAAUAAAAUAAAUAAUUAAUUGCAUAUAAUCCAAUAGUCAAAUUUAAUUAGAAAAAUAUCUACUUUGACUUUUUCGAAGAUUUUUCAUUUCUUUAUAUCUUUUAUCAAAUGAUCAAGUUUAAUCUUGAAUGUUCUGCAAACAAAAUCAGGCCUGUCUUCCGAUUAUAAAUUGUAUUUUGACAAAAAUGUAAGUAACUCUGACCAUUUUUGGUUGCAUGUAAAAGUAAUGAAUAAAUCAGGAUAUCUAGUCCAUGCACAAAUAGAUAUAACAUCUUGGUAAUCCUGAGCAUGUAACAUGUGCCUCCUACAAAAGUUGACGGCAACAUAAUUCUUCUUAAUGUGGUUGAAGGAUCCGUCUUUCCUCUAAGAAUUGCCUCCGUGAGACCUUUAUAGAUUUCGUUCCUCAAUUCUUUUUGAUGAUUUCAAUUCCAUUUUAAUCUGGAAGACUCUAUCAUACUAUAACCAUCAACCAAAAAAUGUUGGAAUAAACGUUUAGCAAAAAGCAACGGUGCCAUGUUAUUUUCUCUAUGUUAGAUUCUAUAGACAACCCAUUCUUUGAUAGUUACCAUUUGUCUUUUUAUUGUUGGUGCAUCUGGUACAUCGUUGUAUUGGAUGCCUUCCCAAUAUCCAUCUUCUCCUCGAGGAGAUAAUAAAGGAUGUUGCAAUGACAAAUAAGCUGAACUAAAAAUAAAAAUAUGUGAUGGAAAAUUAAGACACAAUAAUUGACCAAUACACAACAGAUAUAAAAUUCUCCAGACUUGUAGGAACCUUGAUGACCAACAAUAAAUAUAAGACGAAAAAUCGAACAAAUAAAGACACAAAAGAAGAACACCGAUAUUUUUAACGUGGAAAACUCCUCAAUGAGAGUAAAAAUCACGAGUCAUUUAGACCAAAGAAAUAACUCCACUAUAAUCAAUUAAGAGUACAAGAGAGUCUUAAAGUGAUUCACAAACCAGUGCUAACAACCACAAAUAACAAAGCAAACUAGCUUACAAAUAAGAAUCAAAAAGCUGAAAAAUGUCUCAAAUCUGCAGCUUCAGUGCGAAGCAGAUAACUCUCACUUCAGACGUUGUUUUGAAAUUCUGAACGGUCAAAAGUUAGAUACAUGUGUUACGAACCUGCCCUCCAAAUUUGAGCUUGACCCGACAAAUAAAGAAUCAGGGAUCAUCGAUUUAGUAAGACUGGUUGCAGAAAAACAGGAAUGAGUUUCUCUCAUCUUUUCUUUGUUUUGAAUCAUUAUUUUCUCUCUAUCUCUCUCAACCAUAAAUUGAUCAUCUCCACUUAAAUAAGUUAGACAAAUUGACUAAUCAUAUUUGAGUCUUUUUCCACGUAGGAAUGAAGCCCAAACUUAACAACGCUUCAACUAUCCUGAUUGAGUCUCAGACCCACUUUAAAUGUCAUUUACAAAAGUGUCUUUCAAAACUUAAAAUAAAUGUUUAUAUUACAAUUCUUUAUUAAUUUUACUAAACUUUCACUAUCAAUAUUAAAUCUAUACCAUUUGCCCCAACAUCAAACAUGUGUGACAUAUUAUUUUUAUUUUAUUUUUAUAGGAUUUAAUUAAAAUACACUGACAGUGUAAAAGGAUUUUACACCGUCAGUUGAUCAUAACCGUUGAAUGUUGAAACAAGUUUGACUUUUAUUGUGUAAAAUUUUUUACACUGACAAUAUAUAAUAAUUAAUCUCAUUUUUAUAUUGAUUUUCUUCUCUUUUAUUUUAUUUAUUUUUCAAUCUAAAGAGUGAUAAAUAUGUGUAAUUAUCAUUAUUACUAAUUCAAUAACAUUCCCAUGCUAUGGGUAAACGAAACGACUACUUUUGAUUAAUAAUAGAAAAUGUUAUUAUUGGAGUAUUUUAUUUUAAUAGGUUGGUUAUUUAAAAAAAAAAUCCAACGAUGAAAUCCCUGAAACAUAGUAAGAAAAAAUUAAAUGGGGCCUGUGGCUACAGGUUUAUAAAAUCAAGUUAACUGGAUUAGUUCAACUCAUUUUUCUACUAAAAUGCAAUAUCCUAAUCAAAUUUGGACAGUAAUAGUCCUCCAUCAAAAACUAUUCAAACAACUUGAGAUUGUUGUUGAAACCAAACAUGGCUAUUAAGACUUGAGAGCCUGUGUUGGCGUGUGUUACCAAAUUAUUAAUAGAAGAAAGAAAACUGAUUGUAACAGAAAGAGUUUGCAUACAUUAGUGGAAAUUCAAAACUGCAUGUACAUUACUAUUUUGAGUACAAAGGUAAAAUGCCAAAAAUCCUUUUCCAACUCUCAAUCAGAUAAUUAGUUGCUGGUAGCAGCUAAUUCUAAACUUCAGGGAAGAUCUAUAGACCACUUCAGCUGGUACUAACAUCAACUCCUCUUUGCUUCAAAUAUUCCUUGGCUUCAACAAUGUCCUGGAAACAAGCAAUAAAAUAAGCAACAUUCAUUGGCAUUGUAUGACAGACAAAAGGCUUAUCUGAAUCUGAAAUAUGAUCCAGCAUUACGCUGUAAUUAUCUGGUCAUAAUUACUGCUUAAGGAUCAUCUAGGAGGAAAAGUUGGCAUUUAUAUGUUUGCAAUUAGAUGGUAUCAUUUACUUUUCACAAGCAUAUGGAAAAUGAUCCUCAUUAAUGAUAUUUGUGAGUUGGGUCCUUGAUGAUCUAAAAAUAACGAAAUGCAGUCACUUGCUACCACAAUUAUUCACACGAACGAUGCACAAUUUUAUUCCAGUCCUGCAGACAGGAGAUUGGGGGGAAAAUCAGCGCAUUUUAAGGAUAGGAAGGUUAACUUAUCUCAAGCUCGUGAGAGGGUGUGUUCUUAAGUGUAAGCUCGUGAGAGGGUGUGUUCUUAAGUGUUUUGGUUGUUCGUGCUUCCCUCUUCGUAGACCUUACAAUAAAAACAAGCUUCAGUUUAGGUCUCACGAGUGUCCUUAUUGGCUACUCCACCUCUCAGAAGGGCUACAACUGUAUGUCCCCUGAUGGUCGU